rnacentral:rRNA from 1 species
GCACAAGCGGUGGAGCAUGUGGUUUAAUUCGAUGCAACGCGAAGAACCUUACCUGGGCUUGACAUCCCGGGAAUCCCUUGGAAACAAGGGAGUGCCCUUCGGGGAACCUGGAGACAGGUGCUGCAUGGCUGUCGUCAGCUCGUGUCGUGAGAUGUUGGGUUAAGUCCCGCAACGAGCGCAACCCUCGUCCUAUGUUGCCAGCGGGUCAUGCCGGGGACUCAUGGGAGACUGCCGGGGUCAACUCGGAGGAAGGUGGGGAUGACGUCAAGUCCUCAUGGCCCUUAUGGGUAGGGCUUCACACGUCAUACAAUGGUCGGUACAGAGGGUUGCCAACCCGCGAGGGGGAGCUAAUCCCACAAAGCCGAUCGUAGUCCGGAUCGCAGUCUGCAACUCGACUGCGUGAAGUCGGAAUCGCUAGUAAUCGUGGAUCAGCAUGUCACGGUGAAUACGUUCCCGGGUCUU